GGCCCCGGGGGCUUGCUCCCGGGUGGUAGGGGUAACACCCUCACGCGCCGCCUGCCUGUACCCUCUUUUUACGAGCACCUUUCGUUCUCCUUCGGCGGGGCAACCUGCCGCUGGAACCAAAACAAAACCUUUUUUGCAUCUAGCAUUACCUGUUCUGAUACAAAUAAUCGUUACAACUUUCAACAAUGGAUCUCUUGGCUCUGGCAUCGAUGAAGAACGCAGCGAAAUGCGAUAAGUAGUGUGAAUUGCAGAAUUCAGUGAAUCAUCGAAUCUUUGAACGCACAUUGCGCCCCUUGGUAUUCCAUGGGGCAUGCCUGUUCGAGCGUCAUCUACACCCUCAAGCUCUGCUUGGUGUUGGGCGUCUGUCCCGCCUCUGCGCGCGGACUCGCCCCAAAUUCAUUGGCAGCGGUCUUUGCCUCCUCUCGCGCAGCACAAUUGCGUCUGCGGGGGGGCGUGGCCCGCGUCCACGAAGCAACAUUACCGUCUUUGACCUCGGAUCAGGUAGGGAUACCCGCUGAACUUAAGCAUAUCAAU
rnacentral:rRNA from 1 species